AAAGUUUGAUCCUGGGUCAGGAUGAACGUUGGCAGCAUGCUUAACACAUGUAAGUCAGACGGGAAAUGGUGUUUCUAGUGGCGGAUAGGUGAGUAACGCGUAAGAACCAGCCCUUGGGAGGGGAACAACAGCUGGAAACGUCUGCUAAUACCCUGUAGGCUGAGGAGCAAAAGGAGGAAUCCACCUGAGGAGGGACUCACGUCUAAUUAGCUAGUUGGUAAGGCAAUAGCUUACCAAGGCGAUGAUCAAUAACUGGUCUGAGAGGAUGAUUAGCCACACUGGGAUUAAGACACGGCCUAGACUCCUACGGGAGGCAACAGUGGGGAAUUUUCCGCAAUGGGUGAAAGCCUGAUGGAGUAAUGCCGCGUGGAGGUAGAAGGCCUACGGGUCGUGAACUUCUUUUCCUGGAGAAGAAGCAAUGACGGUAUCUAGGGAAUAAGCAUCGGCUAACUCUGUGCCAAUAGCCAUGGUAAUACAGAGGAUGCAAGCGUUAUUUGGAAUGAUUGGGCGUAAAGCGUCUGUAGGUGGCUUUUUAAGUCCGCCAUCAAAUCCCAAGGCUUAACCCUGGACAGGCAGUGGAAACUACCAAGCUGGAGUACAGUAGGGGCAGAGGGAAUUUUUGGUGGAGCGGUGAAAUGCGUAGAGAUCGAAAAGAACACCAACCGCGAAAGCACUCUGCUGGGCCAACACUGACACUGAGAGACGAAAGCUAGGGGAGCUAAUGGGAUUAGAUACCUUAGUAGUCCUAGCCGUAAACGAUGGAUACUAGGCACUAUGCGUAUCGACCCGUGCAAUGUUGUAGCUAAUGCGUUAAGUAUCCCGCCUAGGGAGUACGUUCGUAAGAAUGAAACUCAAAGGAAUUGAUGGCGGCUCGCACAAGCGGUGGAACAUGUGGUUUAAUUCGAUGCAAAGCGAAGAACCUUACAAGGGCUUGACAUGCCGCGAAUCCUCUUGAAAGAGAGGGGUGCCUUUGGGAAUGCGAACACAGGUGGUGCAUGGUUGUCGUCAGAUCGUGCUGUAAGGUGUUGGGUUAAGUCCCGCAACGAGCGCAACCCUCGUGUUUAGUUGCCACCAUUGAGUUUGGAACCCCGAGCAGACUGUUGGUGAUAAGCCGGAGGAAGGUGAGGAUGACGUCAAGUCAUCAUGCCCUUUAUGCGCUGGGCGACACACGUGCUACAAUGGCUGGGACAAAGGGUCGCGAUCCUGCGAGGGUGAGCUAACCCCAAAAACCUGUCCUCAGUUUGGAUUAUAGGCUGCAACUCGCUUGCAUGAAGCCAGAAUCGCUAGUAAUCACCGGUCAGCCAUACGGCGGUGAAUUUGUUCCCAGGCCUUGUACACACCGCCCGUCACACUAUGGGAGAUGGCCAUGCCCGAAGUCGUUACCUUAACCACAAAGAAGGGGAUGCCGAAGGCAGGGCUAGUGACUAGAGUGAAGUCGUAACAAGGUAGCCAUACUGGAAGGUGUGGCUG
rnacentral:rRNA from 1 species